rnacentral:hammerhead_ribozyme from 1 species
AUCUGGCUGACGAGUCCCAAAUAGGAAGAAACGAGCGUUCUGAAU